AUUGAACGCUGGCGGCAUGCUUUACACAUGCAAGUCGAACGGUAACAGGCCUUCGGGUGCUGACGAGUGGCGAACGGGUGAGUAAUGCAUCGGAACGUACCCAGAGGUGGGGGAUAACGCAGCGAAAGCUGUGCUAAUACCGCAUGUGAUCUGAGGAUGAAAGCGGGGGACCGAGCAGCAAUGUUUGGCCUCGCGCCUUUGGAGCGGCCGAUGUCGGAUUAGCUAGUUGGUGGGGUAAAGGCCUACCAAGGCGACGAUCCGUAGCUGGUCUGAGAGGACGACCAGCCACACUGGGACUGAGACACGGCCCAGACUCCUACGGGAGGCAGCAGUGGGGAAUUUUGGACAAUGGGCGCGAGCCUGAUCCAGCAAUGCCGCGUGCGGGAAGAAGGCGUUCGGGUUGUAAAGCGCUUUUGGCAGGAACGAAACGGUGUCCGCUAAUACCGGGCGCUAAUGACGGUACCUGCAGAAUAAGCACCGGCUAACUACGUG
rnacentral:rRNA from 1 species